AUGCAAAGGUUGCAGGAUGAAAUAGCUGAGACCUUGAGCCUUCUAGAGCACAAUCAACCCAAAAUCCAUAUUCCACUUAAUGGGGAUGGCCAGCCUGUUGGGCCAGAUGCAACUGAAUUUGCCAAUUUCAUUGGUACAUUGGUGAGGAAGCAUAUACCGCCCGCAGAGUUACAUUGGCGAGAUGUUGAUGUAGAGAAAAAGUUGUUAGUGUGGGAGACCUUGAAGGCAUUUUACGAGCUGGACUCAACUGCUUUGAGCUUUGUUAUCAACACUUCACAGAUAAAAUGGAAGGAUUGGAAGUCAGAUUUAAAGAUGUACAAGUUUGAUGCUGCGCUCACUGAUGCACAACUUAUGAAAAGACGUGACAGCAGAAUUAGUGAAGCUGACUGGAAGACCCUUAUUACUUAUUAG
rnacentral:rRNA from 1 species